UGUUGGUGGUCAGUACCAGCGGAAGCUGUACAAGGAUCUGUUGACUAACUAUAACCGUCUGGAGAGACCAGUGUUCAACGACUCAGCUCCUAUACUGGUGGAACUGGGCUUCACACUGUUACAGAUCAUAGACGUGGAUGAGAAGAACCAGGUUCUGAUGACCAACGCCUGGCUGCAGCUGCACUGGACAGAUACUUACCUCUCCUGGAACCCAGAGAACUACCCAGGUGUUCAGAACCUUCGUUUCCCCUCCAAUCAGAUCUGGGUUCCUGAUAUCCUCCUCUACAACAGGAUGAUACGGAACGUUAAGCAGGUGAUGGUCAGGAUCAGCGAUCACUAACAUUAUAGUCCUGGACAAAGAAUAGAUGGCGGGAGCUGAAGAUUUACAGAUGGGAAAGAAGGAAAAAGAAUGAAAGAAGG